GCCUGGGUGGCUCAGUUGGUUAAGUGUCUGACUUUGGCUCAGGUCAUGAUCUCCCAGUGCGUGGGUUCAAGUCCUGUGUCAGGCU
rnacentral:tRNA from 1 species